rnacentral:rRNA from 1 species
UGGGGAAUCUUCCGCAAUGGACGAAAGUCUGACGGAGCAACGCCGCGUGAGUGAAGACGGCCUUCGGGUUGUAAAGCUCUGUUAUUCGGGAAGAACGAUUCGUUUGUGAACAAUGAACGGAAGUGACGGUACCGAAAGAGAAAGCCACGGCUAACUACGUGCCAGCAGCCGCGGUAAUACGUAUGUGGCAAGCGUUGUCCGGAAUUAUUGGGCGUAAAGAGCGCGUAGGCGGUAUGGUAAGUCUGUCUUAGAAGUGCGGGGCUUAACCCCGUGAGGGGACAGAGACUGUCAUACUGGAGUCUCGGAGAGGAAGGCGGAAUUCCUAGUGUAGCGGUGAAAUGCGUAGAGAUUAGGAAGAACACCGGUGGCGAAGGCGGCUUUCUGGACGAGCACUGACGCUGAGGCGCGAAAGCGUGGGGAGCGAACAGG